GUCCCUGUCACGCAAUAGAAAACGCGUUGGACUCCUAAUCCAAAGACCGUGGGUUCGAAUCCCACCUGAGAUG